CGCGGCCUAUCAGCUUGUUGGUGAGGUAACGGCUCACCAAGGCAUCGACGGGUAGCUGGUCUGAGAGGACGAUCAGCCACACUGGGACUGAGACACGGCCCAGACUCCUACGGGAGGCAGCAGUAGGGAAUCUUGCGCAAUGGGCGAAAGCCUGACGCAGCAACGCCGCGUGGGGGAUGAAUGCCUUCGGGUUGUAAACCCCUUUCAGCAGGGACGAAAAUGACGGUACCUGCAGAAGAAGCUCCGGCCAACUACGUGCCAGCAGCCGCGGUAAUACGUAGGGAGCGAGCGUUGUCCGGAAUUAUUGGGCGUAAAGAGCUCGUAGGCGGUUCAGUCAGUCGGGUGUGAAAACUCAAGGCUCAACCUUGAGACGCCACUCGAUACUGCUGUGACUUGAGUCCGGUAGAGGAGUGUGGAAUUCCUGGUGUAGCGGUGAAAUGCGCAGAUAUCAGGAGGAACACCAGCGGCGAAGGCGGCACUCUGGGCCGGUACUGACGCUGAGGAGCGAAAGCAUGGGGAGCAAACAGGAUUAGAUACCCUGGUAGUCCAUGCCGUAAACGUUGGGCACUAGGUAUGGGAUCAUAUCAACGGAUUCCGUGCCGUAGCUAACGCAUUAAGUGCCCCGCCUGGGGAGUACGG
rnacentral:rRNA from 1 species